rnacentral:lncRNA from 1 species
UGAAGCUGGAAGCUGAGAUCCACAAGUACCCUGAGGAUGCCCAGGGCUUCUGCUUCAAGUUCUACAGCCCAUGCUGGAGAAAACACAAACCCAGCGUCCAAGAGUCUUGCAACAGCAUAAGACUUUCCAGCUGCAGCAGAGCAAAGGAGGAAGGGAGAAAGGGUGACUUCACAUAUGCUAGGAUGGCUGCGGGGGACCUUGAGGAUGGAUGCUUGCGGUUCGUAUCACCCAGCAGAAGUCUGGAGCUGGGGCUUCCCUUUAACUGGUCUGUUCAGGAGCACACAUAUGUCUGAGGUGACCCUGCUGUGAAAGACUGGAGAAUGACUGGCCUACACAGAGGGUUCGGUGGAUGUGUUGCCCAUGAGCUGGAAGGAGGAAAGCAAGAAAUGGGGAGGAAUGAGAGCUUUUGGAAUUCCCCAGAGGAAGCAGCUGCCUUCUUCCAAGCCCCAGGAAGCAGCUCAGUGCAUGGGAGGCUUCCUUGGGGUUCUCCCUCCAUCCUUGGUGGCAGGAUUUGCCCUUCAGGUUCAUCCAUUUCCUGGGGAUUAUCUCUGCAUAAUUACUCUGUGAUCCAAAUAGUUGAUUAGAGACACUCCAGUCCUCUCUUUGUCAACAUGGUACGCUUGUGGCUGCCAAACAUGACAGCUUUUUUAAAUUAUUAAAAUGUUUGCAGUGGUAGCAUUUAAAAUGAAUUUCAGGGCAGUGAUAGUCACAUUGUGAGAAAGUCAUAUGUGUCUAUGUGAGAAAGUAUUCCCCCUUGUGAUUUCCCCUUUGUCCCAAAGAUUCGUUCAAAGCACAUCUAACUGUAGAACUGCACCAAAGUUUGCAGAAGUUUCUUGACCUUAUCUCUGUGGACUGAUGAGAGUAUGGUUUGUGUAGCUGUGAGUGUGUGUGUGUGUGUGUGUGUGUGUAGAGGAGACACUACCCAAAUUCCCAUCAUUCCAUGUCUACUUUGCUUUGUCAACUCCAGAGUCACCAAAUCCAAAGGCCGCUUAGCAUAUGCUAUGGAUAGUUUGAAUGUUUGUUUCCCAAGGCUCAUCUGGUAACUUCCUCACUCUAUAAGGAUAUGGCCUUUGGGAAGUGGGACUAGUAUCUUUAUGGGAGACAUCAGAGAGGUCCCUCAUCUCUCUGACAUGUGACAUUAGAGUGAGAAGAUGAGGAAGAGGGUCUUCACCAGCCACAGACUCUGCUGAGAACUUGAUCUUUAACUUCUUAGCAUCUAGAACUAUGAACGGUAAAUUUCUGUUAUGUAAAAAUUGACCCAAUCUGUGUAUUUUGGUAUUUUGUGAUGGCGGUCUGAAGUGAGUAAUUCAGUACAUACCACUGGUAUGUGAAACCUUUCUAAAUAAAUCUCAGUCGUUUGAGAGUGUUCAUGUUGCCAAAUUCUAUUUCUGAUCCGAGUGUAUGUACAAGUUCAUGCGUAUAUGCACAUGUGUGUACAUACACACAUACAUACAUACAUACAUGAGUAUAUAUGUAUGUGGACGACAGAGGUUGCUAUCAGAUACCUUUUGUUAGUUGCUCUCCAAGUCCGUGUUGUAAUAAAGUAUCUCUCAUAGAACCUGGAGCUCAGCGAUUCAUCGAGAUUGGCGGCUCGGUAUGUUCCAAGGAACCUCCUCUCUCUCUCUAUUCCCAAGAACCAGAA